AGUGGCGGACGGGUGAGUAACGCGUAAGAAUCUAACUUCAGGACGGGGACAACAGUUGGAAACGACUGCUAAUACCCGAUGUGCCGCAAGGUGAAACCUAAUUGGCCUGAAGAAGAGCUUGCGUCUGAUUAGCUAGUUGGUGGGGUAAAGGCCUACCAAGGCGACGAUCAGUAGCUGGUCUGAGAGGAUGAGCAGCCACACUGGGACUGAGACACGGCCCAGACUCCUACGGGAGGCAGCAGUGGGGAAUUUUCCGCAAUGGGCGAAAGCCUGACGGAGCAACGCCGCGUGAGGGAGGAAGGUCUUUGGAUUGUAAACCUCUUUUCUCAAGGAAGAAGUUCUGACGGUACUUGAGGAAUCAGCCUCGGCUAACUCCGUGCCAGCAGCCGCGGUAAUACGGGGGAGGCAAGCGUUAUCCGGAAUUAUUGGGCGUAAAGCGUCCGCAGGUGGUCAGCCAAGUCUGCCGUCAAAUCAGGUUGCUUAACGACCUAGAGGCGGUGGAAACUGGCAGACUAGAGAGCAGUAGGGGUAGCAGGAAUUCCCAGUGUAGCGGUGAAAUGCGUAGAGAUUGGGAAGAACAUCGGUGGCGAAAGCGUGCUACUGGGCUGUAUCUGACACUCAGGGACGAAAGCUAGGGGAGCGAAAGGGAUUAGAUACCCCUGUAGUCCUAGCCGUAAACGAUGGAUACUAGGCGUGGCUU
rnacentral:rRNA from 1 species